rnacentral:tRNA from 2 species
GGGGGGAUGGUCUAGUUUGGACGAGGACUCCUACCUUGGGCGUAGGAAGUCGCAGGUUCAAAUCCUGCUCCUCCCA